CACUCCAGUUUAUUUAUUUAUAUCUUAACUUGAGACAGUUUUAGCAUUUGCUUUGUAAAUCUUGUCUGGGAGGGAGAAUUGUAACACAAGAAGUCUCAAAAUGCAGUCUGCUUGCCUCUCCAGAGGCUAAAAUACCUUGUUUUGCCUGUGAUUGCAAAACUUCCAAUGAAGAUAACCUCUCCAGGAACAAUAAAAGGAUGAUCACAGGGUCAAGCAUGAGACUUCAGCCUCUGCUUCUGUUUGCCCAUUUCAGUGAUGAGCUGUAGGCAACACUGAUCAUUCUCCCUGCUAAUCUGAAGUUGGGUGUUGUCACAAACAGGACCAGAGGAUCUCUGGACAACAUAGUAUGGAAACCACUAGCUUCACACUUAUAAAAUCUCCACAGGAAAAAAAGGGGAAGGUUGCUGAAAUCUAUAAACCCGAGGUGCCUGCUUAGCCUAAAAGCAGAUGUGCUUGCCUGCCAGAACAGAUCUGUAUUCAGGAUUACCAAACUGACUGGGCAAGUCCUUGCAGCUCUUGGAUUAGGCUAUGGGCACGCAUUUUGCCGUCAGUGAUAGCUGGAAUGUGCACACGGCUCUUAGCGCAACUUAAUUAACAAAAGAGCAUGUCUGCAGACAUCUUUCACCACCCUCCUUUCCUUCAAACGAUACGCCUCAAAGACAAACUGAUUAAAGGAGGACGUUUCUUUAUUCAGCAUGACUUCCCUUUCUGCGUGGCUGAGCCGCGUGUAGCUGGAAGGAACGCAGACACGAACGCUGCAGCCUGACAGACGAAGACUCCCGCACCAGCACCGAGGCGUUUCUUUUGGCUGCGGUUACAGCCAGAGCCUUCUUGCAGUGGUUCUGUCGACCCCCUCCAAACCCCCUCUCUGGGCAGGAUCCAGAGCCGGUAACAGCUUCAAGGAUGAUCCCUACAGCGGGCUGAGGAGGAACCUGUUGAAGGAGGGCAGGGGAAACGAAUGGUGUUUGGGGAAGGGUCAGUCACCUGGAGGCGGUGAGCAGGGCCGUCCCGCACCGCUCGCUUGCUCCCAGCAAGCACGAGGGCCUCGUUUCAGACCUCCUUGGCCCUGAGGACCGAACACCUUCUCGGCGUGUGCGGCUAAGCCCGCGAUCCACCGCUCCCUCGCGGCGGAGCAACCAAAACCCCCCGCGGGACUCGAGGAAGGGUGCAGAGCUCCGCGAGGCUCGGGCGGGCAGCUCCGGCCCAAGGCCGCUGCACACCCACCGGCCAGGCCCUCCGCACACAAGCACCGGGGAGGAGAAAACAGCCCCAAAUGGAUCCCGGUACGUCACGACCAGGACAAUGGUUUCAUGCAUCACAAAUUUGCUAUUGUGGACAAGAAGAUGCUCAUCACGGGCUCCCUCAACUGGACCACGCAAGCUAUCCAGAACAACCGGGAGAAUGUGCUGAUUGUGGAAGAUGCAGAGUAUGUGAAGCCUUUUCUGGCUGAGUUUGAAAGGAUUUGGGAAGAAUACAAUCCCAUCAACUAUGCAUUUUUUUCCAAAGAAAAUAAGUGAUUAAGCUGCUUCCCAGAGCUGGAGGAGUACUUAACAAAUGGCAUUCAUGGAUUUUGUUAUUAUAUGUAGACCUCAAUGUAUGAUCUAUUUGGCUGUAAUUUAGCUCCUCUGCAGAAGUGAAGUGCUUUCUACCCUAGGGUGUCACAGAUCCAUUGCAAGCUAAAUGAAAGAAAAUCACCCAACUGUUUGCUAAGCUAUUUUGUGAGCAUAGCUAUGAUAAAACUGUGUUGAUAGAGUUCGGAAAUUGAAGCAGUCUCAGUGCUAUGCCCAGGAGAAAACAAGGUAAUGUUUGCAUGGUGCUUGAUAUUUCAACAGUGAAACAGACAUUUAUCAGCUUGGGAUAUUGCAGAAUGGAAUUUUACACCAAUGGCUCCUCUGCACUGCUAGCUCUAAAAGAAGAGUUGAGAGGACUAUGAGCAAAGGUAGAGUUCCUAUAGCGAGAUUAAGCAACUUUGUUACCUUUUUGUUAGCAUUAAUUGUUGAAAGUUUGUAAAUGGGAUUUUGUGGAAAAUAUGAAGAUAGAAAUUAAAAAUACAUAUUGAAUGUUAAUUACUAUAGAAGAUUUGCUUUUUCUUUCAUUUCAGACUAGUAAAGUCCCAGAGUAAAAGUGACAGAAUGCAUACUAGCACCAGGUCCUCUGCGAGGCAGCAAGUGUAGGGAAGUUUCUGGAAAGCAGUGAGAUACACUUUUUUAGGAGCAGUCAGCCUUGUCUUAAAAGCGAAUAUGGCUGUAGUUAGGACACUGAUUUUCGGAAAGGCACUGGGGAAGGAAAGCCCCAUCCAUACGGGUGACAGGAUACAGCUUCCUGAUCUGAUUCAAUGAUCUCAGGAAUGCUUGAAGGUAGCAGAAGGAUGGGGGACGGGUGACAGAUGACUAUCAUGGAGAAGGCAAGC
ensembl:lncRNA